rnacentral:rRNA from 1 species
CCUACGGGAGGCAGCAGUAGGGAAUCUUCCACAAUGGACGAAAGUCUGAUGGAGCAACGCCGCGUGAGUGAAGAAGGGUUUCGGCUCGUAAAGCUCUGUUGGUAGUGAAGAAAGAUAGAGGUAGUAACUGGCCUUUAUUUGACGGUAAUUACUUAGAAAGUCACGGCUAAAGACGUGCCAGCCGCCGCGGUAAUACGUAGGUGGCAAGCGUUGUCCGGAUUGAUUGGGCGUAAAGGGAGUGCAGGCUGUUAAAUAAGUCUGAUGUGAAAGCCUUCGGCUCAACCGGUGAAUUGCAUCAGAAACUGUUGAACUUGAGUGCAGAAGAGGAGAGUGGAACUCCAUGUGUAGCGGUGGAAUGCGUAGAUAUAUGGAAGAACACCAGUGGCGAAGGCGGCUCUCUGGUCUGCAACUGACGCUGAGGCUCGAAAGCAUGGGUAGCGAACAGGAUUAGAUACCCGAGUAGUC